AUGGAGAUAUGGAGGUAUCUCGAAAACCUGGAAAUGGAACAACCUUAUGACCUGGCGAUUCCACUAUUAGGUGUCCAGUGUGAGGUGCAGCUGGUGGAGUCUGGGGGAGGCUUGGUGCAGCCUGGGGGGUCUCUGCGACUCUCAUGCGCAGCCUCUGGAUUCACCUUCAGUAGCUACUGGAUGAGCUGGGUCCGCCAGGCUCCAGGGAAGGGGCUGGAGUGGGUGUCAGCCAUUAGUGGUGAUGGUAGUAGUUACAUAUACUAUGCCGACUCCGUGAAGGGCCGAUUCACCAUCUCCAGAGACAACGGCAAGAACACGCUGUAUCUGCAAAUGACCAGCCUGAGAGCCGAGGACACGGCCGUGUAUUACUGUGCAAGGGGCACA